UACAUAGGUCCCAAGCGUUGUUCGGAUUCACUGGGCGUAAAGGGUGCGUAGGCGGUCGGGUAAGUCUGGCGUGAAAUCUCCAAGCCUAACUUGGAAACUGCGUUGGAUACUAUCCGGCUCGAGGAAUGGAGGGGAGACUGGAAUACUUGGUGUAGCAGUGAAAUGCGUAGAUAUCAAGUGGAACACCAGUGGCGAAGGCGAGUCCCUGGACAAAACCUGACACUGAGGCACGAAAGCUAGGGGAGCAAACAGG
rnacentral:rRNA from 1 species